UUUUCAAUUGUUUUGUUCCCGCUCAUUCUCUCUCAUCCCCCAUCUCUCUCUCCUCGUCCUCUUUAUGCCAAUCGCCGAAGUCAUUUCGCCGUAACCAUAACCAAACAUCCCAAUCCUCGUUUCUGAGUUCUCAUCCACUUCACCACCUCUUUGAUCUGUCCGAUUAUCUUCAUUCUUGCUCCAGAGUCGAAACCCUAGACAAAUCGAUCCAGCAUCCAUGAAUCAAUAUCAUAUCUACGAGGCCAUUGGCAGAGGCAAAUACUCGACUGUGUACAAAGGGAGGAAGAAGAAGAGUAUUGAGUACUUCGCGAUUAAGAGUGUGGAUAAAUCGCAGAAGAACAAACUUCUACAAGAAGUUAGGAUUCUUCACUCUCUAGAUCACUCGAAUGUACUAAAAUUUUUUUCUUGGUAUGAAACUUCUGCUCACUUGUGGUUAGUUUUGGAAUAUUGUGUCGGAGGAGAUCUUAUGACCUUAUUACGGCAGGAUAGUCAGCUUCCUGAAGAUUCAGUACAUGAUCUUGCCCGUGACCUUGUCAGAGCUUUGCAGUUUUUACAUUCUAAGGGAAUCAUAUACUGUGACUUAAAACCAUCAAAUAUCCUAUUGGAUGAGAAUGGGCGCACAAAGCUAUGUGAUUUUGGAUUAGCAAGAAAAUUGAGUGAUAUAUCAAAAACACCUUCUUCCAUGUUGCCACAAGCAAAACGUGGAACACCGUGUUACAUGGCUCCAGAGCUGUUUCAGGACGGAGGCGUGCAUUCUUAUGCUUCUGAUUUCUGGGCCCUUGGUUGUGUACUGUAUGAGUGCUAUGCUGGAAGACCCCCCUUUGUGGGAAGAGAAUUUACUCAGUUAGUAAAAUCCAUCCUCUCAGAUCCCACUCCAACCCUGCCUGGUACGCCGAGCCGUCCCUUUGUUAAUCUAAUCAAUUCUCUCCUGGUAAAAGAUCCAGCUGAAAGAAUACAGUGGCCUGAACUUUGUGGGCAUGCUUUCUGGAGAACAAAAUUCACAUCAGUGCCUCUACCUCCUCAGCCUGCUUUUGAUAAUUUGAUAGACCUUUAUUCUAAACUGUGUCUAUCCGAACGGAAUGGUGACAAGCCUCUCCAAAAUAAGACCCCUCCUAAAUAUCGUGACAGAGAUUCAAAAGGGACUCCCAAACAAGAUGAGAAUUCUAUUUUGGGAUUAAAAGGUUAUGAAACACCAGUUAAAGGUAUAACAGGUGGACGCAGAGCUCAAACAAAGGCUACUGGAAGAGUAGCUGAUGAGAAGCAGAAAGAUCCUUCAAGUGCUACCGGGGGUGUGAAUCUUUUAAGGCUCUCAAGAAUUGCAAAAUCAAACUUACACAGAGAGAAUGAGAAGGAAAACUACCGAAGGCCCUUGCCAAAUAACUCUGAAAAUGAUUCUGAGGUUAAAAUUGAGAACACAGAUAUGGAACUUGAUUUUAAUGAAAACACUGAAGAUGAGCCACAUGAUGAACCUGAUGGGUCUGAUACUUCAAACUUUACUCCUGAAGACAAAUUGUCAAGUCAAACUCAGCAUCAGGGGAAAGUGGAAGAGAUGGAAGAUAACACAAACCAACUAGAUACUGCACAUGUUGUCAGCAUACCUGUCUCAGAUGACUCAAGAACAUUUGAUCAUGAAUCAGACCAUGUUGAAGUGGCUGCUACCCCGCCCAGUGUUAGUCCUCAGGUUAGAAUCCAGAGGGUUAAAGAAGGUUCAGGUUCUGCUGUUGAUUUUGAUUCUUCAAAAUCAUCUGGUAACAUUUCGCACGUGCUUUGGCAUCCUUCCGAUCUCUCAGUUAGACCCGUAAUGCCCAGUAGAAAAGCUGAUAAAUUGCCAGAGACACUUCCUUCUCUUCCCUUUGAUGCACUGGCAGCAUCUGAUUUCAUCAAGAUGUCCAAGGAGCAGCUUGAUUCACUCAACAAUAGGAUUAUAACCAUCUUUAAUGGUAACACUACCAUUGCAGAGAAGCAGAAUGUGAUCAAAUACCUUGAAAUGUUGAGCAAUAAUGCUGAUGCUGCGAAUAUCUUAACCAAUGGGCCAAUCAUGAUGGUUAUUGUCAAAAUGCUCCGACAGUCCAAGGCAUCUGCUUUGCGUGUUCAGCUUGCUUCACUGAUUGGUUUGUUAAUUCGGCAUUCUACUUUCAUUGAUGAUGAUUUGGCAAGUUCUGGAAUUUUAGGUUCUCUUACUGACGGUCUUAGAGAUAGGCAGGAAAAAGUAAGGAGGUUUUCUAUGGCUGCAUUGGGUGAGUUGCUAUUUUAUAUAUCCACUCAGAAUGAACAUGCUAAAGAUAACAAUCCACCGGAAUCCCCAUCAAAGGAUAGCAGGUCCUCAUCUGGUUGGCAGGUUUCAAAUGCGUUAAUAUCAUUGGUGUCAUCAAUUUUACGGAAAGGAGAGGAUGAUGUAACUCAACAGUAUGCACUGAGAACAAUAGAAAACAUAUGCAGUCAGGGAGGGAACUGGGCAGCUCGUUUCACCAGCCAGGAUGUAAUUAAUAACCUGUGCUAUAUAUUUAGGGCUGCAGGGAAACAAGAGAGCAUGAGACUCACAGCAGGAUCGUGUCUAGUACGACUGGUUCGUUUUCAUCCUCCUAGUAUUCAAUCAGUCAUAGACAAGCUUUCAUUCAGGGACACUGUAACUGCCCUUGUCAAAGGCAGUCCACGUGAGCAGCAAAUCAGCUUAAACCUUCUAAACAUGGCCAUGCUUGGAAGCCAUAUGUUCACAAACAUUGGCCGGCACCUUCUGCCCUUGGUGGAGGAUAAGAAUCUGGUUCCUAGUCUCGUGUCUCUUAUCGAGCAGGGAAGUGAGGUUUUGAGAGGAAAGACACUUGUUUUUGUAGCCCUCCUUUGUAAGAAUGGUAAGAGAUGGCUGCCUCAUUUUUUUUGCAAUGCUAGGUUCCUCUCAGCAGUGGACAGGCUGGUAAAAGAGAAGGAUAGCUAUGUCCAGCAGUGUUUAGAUGCAUUUUUGCAUGUUGUGUCAUCUACUAUUCCAGGUUUGCUGGAGACUAUAACUGGAGAUAUUCAGCAAAUGAUGGGAGGAAGGCGGCAUGGCCAAAUUGUUGGCCUUACCAAUCGGGCUGCCCCAAAAAUUAAUGUUCAUUUGUUUCCUGUUGUUCUUCAUCUUCUUGGGAGCUCAUCAUUUAAGCACAGGGUUGUGAAUCAUCAAGUGCUGCAGCAAUUGGCAAAUCUAAUCAAACUUGCAGAGUCACCAUUUCAGGGUAGGGAUGACUUCCAAAUAACUCUUCUGCGAGUGCUUGAGUCUAUAACAGAGGAGCCCUCUGUAAUUCUUGAAAGCGCUAAUGUUUUCAUUGGUGAAAUUCUCCCAAGUUUGGCUGUUCUGUACAGGGGGAACAAAGAUGGAGAUGCCAGAUUUUUGUGCCUGAAAAUUCUAUUUGAUGCAAUGGUCAUAUACUUGAAUGAACCAUCAGAAGUUGAGCAAAGAUCAGAGGACUUGAAGUCCAUAUCCAAUACUCACUUCCUGCCCCUUUACCCCACUCUCAUUGAGGAUGAAGAUCCCAUUCCCAUGUAUGCGCAGAAGCUUCUUGUGAUGUUUAUCGAGUUUAAUUACAUUAGAAUUCCAGAUAUUCUACAUAUGGAGACAGUCUCCCAGUGCUUUGAAUUUUUGCUUGGUGAUCUUUCAAGUGCAAAUGUAAACAGCGUUAAGCUGUGUCUGGCUCUGGCAUCUGCUCCUGAAAUGGAAACCAAGUUGCUCUCUCAAUUAAAAGUAGUCAGGAAGAUUGGAAACCUUCUUGAGUUUGUCAAUGCAAAAGAUAUGGAAGAUUUUCUUGAACCUACUCUUGGCCUGUGUAGGGCUUUUCUUCUACGUUCAGUAGGCAGUAGAAAAGGCUUCAUCUAUUCAAAAGAACCAACUCUCAUAUGUGAUGGUCCUACUGAAGUGAGAGGUGCAGUUGAUCAGCAGCAAUACAUAAGGGAUAUAAUGGACUUUGGUAGCAACGUUAGUGUUUUUCUGGAAUUAAGUGGCUCAGAUGAAGCCAAUGUUGCAGAUAUAGCUUCUGAAUGUGUGGUUUUGUUGCUCAAGGCUGCUCCCAGGGAAGCCACUACUGGUUUUCUAACUAAUCUCUCAAAGGUUAGUGCACUUCUUGAGUCCUGGCGAAGGGCUGUCUCUCACUUACUGGUGCUGCGGAUGCUGCAUGCUCUUGGGUACUCCUGUAGGCAAUAUUUGUCACAUGCAAUGAUAUUAUCAAUAUCUAUCCCAGAGAUUUCAAGACUUGAAACCAUUGUUUCUGAGCUUAAAAACUCAAGCAUCCCAGGCGUAGCUGAUGCUGCUUUGCUUGUUGCCAAGGAGUUGCAGCGGCUUCCCCGGUGCAAUUGAAGUCCUGGAGGGACUUCGAAGGUUAAUUGAGUUUCAAAAAGUCAUGAAAGACCAUUUUUCUGCAUUCCAGACACGGGUUCAACAGUCCUUAUAUUGAGCAAUUUCAGAGUCAUCAACAGCGAUGCCGGCUUUAAUGGUUGAAGGGAUAUCUACCAAGUUCCCAGGCUUUUCUGGCCGUUGUCCAGGGAUACAAGUAUAAAAGACCAAGAACAGCCUUGGUCCUUGGCAUCACCUCAAAAUCAAAACCCAAACCAACCGGCUGCAGAGGCUAGUUCACCACCCCUUCACCGGCCAGAAAAAGAGAGGAAAAAAACAAAACACAAAUUUUUGUAUCAACAAUGUUUUAACAAAACCAGAUCCAGCCCAACAACGUCUUCAAUCGGAAUCCAGGCCUGUUCAAAUCUAGUAUUUCUCC